UCAGUCGGUCGGGCAGCCGCGCCUGUCAUGUGCCGAAAGGCGGCAGGUGAGGAAAGUCCGGGCUCCAAGGAAACACGAUGCCGGGUAACGCCCGGCGGGGCGACCCCAGGGAAAGUGCCACAGAAAGCAAACCGCCCCGUCUUCCGUACCGUUUCGGGUAAACGGCAGGGAUGACGGGGUAAGGGUGAAAGGGUGGGGUAAGAGCCCACCGCGCCGGCAGCAAUGCAGGCGGCACGGUAAACCCCAUCGGGAGCAAAACCGAAUAGGGACGGCGCGUCGGCUCGAAAGGGCAGGCAAUCGGUUUCCGGAUCAGCCGUCCGGGUGGGUUGCACGAGGCGGGUGGCGACAUCCGUCCCAGAUGAAUGGCUGCCGCGCCGGGCGCAAGCCCGGCCGUACAGAACCCGGCUUACAGACCGGCUGACAUU
rnacentral:RNase_P_RNA from 1 species